GAAGAACCGGAUGUCCGGUGCAGGAAGUGACUCUGCGUUUUUUUUUUCGGAUAUUUACUUCCUCUUCUAUCCGACUUUUGCUGAAGAGGUAUCACUCCGCCAGAAAAGUAGAGACCUGUUUAUGUGUUCCGUGUUUCCAAAACAGACUUUUGCUGAUGAGGUAUCACUCCGCCAGAAAAGUAGAGACCUGUUUAUGUGUUUCGUGUUUCCAAAACAGGUGGCCAAUAAAUGAUGAAACGAC